UAAUUUUGGAAAGGUUUUAAAAACGAACCGUUGGAUUUGGGAAGUCAAAAAGUUUGGGUCGGUGUAUUUGGCGCUUAGUAUACAAACGAACCGUUCUUCAUUCGUCACUCUCACUCAUCCCGCUCUCCAAACACCGCCGGAGAGACUCACCGCGAUCUCUGUAACUCCGCUUCUCGGAGACCCAAGCACCCCCCAUCCCUCGCCACUCACUCAAAACCAUGUCUACAAUCCAAAUAAAUUGAUAAGAUCGCUGUAAGUUUUCAUUCUUUUCAUUUUUCUCUUCUUCCUUUUUAUUUUAGUUCUCAAGGGUUUUUUUCUGUAAUUCAGAUGGUGUAAUUUCCACUUUAUAUAUGGAUAAGCAAAAAAAUAGAAAUAUUAGUUGUUUCUUUUUAAAUCUAUUUAUUCUCAUUGCUCUAGUAGAAACCCUAUAUUCUUUUUCAUCUUUUCGUUGGCGUUUUUUUUUUCUGUAAAAUCUGAUUUUCUAACUGCACCACUUGUAUUGUAACUUAAAAAAAAAAAAAACUACAUAUUGUUUCUGUAGUUUUGUUAAUUUUUUGGGUGGGGGUUUUUGAGAAUGUAUUUCAGAUUUUGUUGGUAACUGUUCAUAAGGCCAAACCAGAGCAAUAGGUCUUUUUCUUCUCGUUAAAGUUGUCUGUCUUCAUAAAUAUGCAUCACUUUUCUUAUUUAUUCUUUUUAAUCAGAGUUUCUUUGAGGGGUUUGUGCAUUUUCACCAGGUUUGGAUUGUUGUUUUCGCCCUUUCAGCAAGUACUACAAAAGGGCCUCUUUUAGCCUACAAUGUUAUCCAUCUCCAUUCACACUGAGAGAUAGAUUCUCAAAGAUCACCAUUGGCUGCACUCCUAACAGGGAUUUUCGUUCUGUUUCACUUGCUACUAAGGGGAUGGUUGAUGUAGUGGUCAACAAUGCAGUUUGAUCUCAACCAAUGGUACAAGGAUUAUAAAGGAUAGUUUGUUGAUUUUGAUUCUCACUGGUGUAUUCCUAUGUACACAAUGAUACAUAGGCUGCUUCCAAGAUUAUGAUGAAAAAGAAAAAAGAAGUUUCACUCAUAUCAAGUACACAUAUAACCAGAUCAUAUUGGUGUGCUAUAGUGGCUCAGUUGAAUUUUAUCAUGGAGUAAGAAAUUCAAGGACAACUUCAAAUUGUUGGAUGACAUGCCAAAAUCAAGACCUACUGUGUUCCAUGAUUAUACAACAGAGUAUAUGAUAAAUUUAUAUAUAUUUUUUUAUCAGUAAGGCUUAUUGAUGAUACUCAGUGAGGUGUGUACUUAAUUCAGUAUUGGUAUUAUGAAUGCAAAGAGUCAAGUCAAGCAUCACUUAAAGAUUAGUAUUUAACAAAAUGAAAGAUAAACAAGGCCUACACCCUUGUCUCCUGAUGUCAUGGAUUUUCUUUUAGUGUGUUCUUCAGGUUCAGGAUUAUGCACAACACCCAAUUGAAGAAUUUUAUGAAGGCAUACAAUGAUAAAAGGAGCAAACUCCUGAUGAGCUUAAGAUGGAGCAAGGUUAGAGAUAAAGAUAUGGUGUGAAAAUCAACCAAAACUUACAAUGAAGAAUCCGACAAAGAAGGCCAAAUGACCAAUCUUGAAUGAUUCUUGUUUGUGUAUUUCCUUGAAUACCCCUCUGGUUUUAAAACUUGUGCUUAUUUAUUAUCUUCAAGAAAUGAUGUGCUUUUUUUUUUUAAUAAAAAGAUGCUAAAAUACUGUAUGGAAAACACCUUGAGCACUUAUUUAGUAUGCCUGGUAGUUCUUUACAAAUGAUAUUUGUUAUCUAGUCAAAUCUUUUAUUUAUUUUAAAAGUCUACUUUUUAUAUAAUGACUUGGGACAUCAGGGAAAGAAAGGAAAUGCCACUUGGUAGGUAAUAAUCAAUUCUCUUCUUGUGAAUAAAAAUAUUAUUUCCAUAUAUGAGAGUUUUGUUAAAGAAUUUCAUUUUUUUGCAGGAAUCUCUUCAUUCAGCUGUGAUGCCUGAACAAGCAUCUUAUUGUUACCUUUUAUUUAAGCCAAACCAAUUAUGUUAAGAAAGUAAGGAUUUCACCUGAAGGGCAGCCUCCAUUUCUUUCUGGUGAUUUUUUUUAAUCUUCAAUGCAUAUAAUGAGGGUAUUUUGGUCUCUUAACAAGUGUGGAACUUUACGUUGCAGCAAGGUAACAGUGAGUCUUAGGUAUGCAGGUCUGUUGCCUAUACUUCCAACUAGUACCAGUGUGGUGGCAUGGCCCAUGAACCAAUCAAAGAAGUCCCCAACCGAGGGCAAAAAGGGAAAUGUGCUUCAUGGAAGCAACAAGAUUCCAAUUCGAUUAUCCUAUGCAGAAGAUGCACUUAGCACUCUUAGUUUGCCAGAAGGUUAUACAUAUAUUCACUCUGCUCUCUGGUUUUUACCAUGUGUCCAAAAUUGAAACCUUUCCUUAUUUCAAGGUUUCGUAUUGAUUUUGGUCCCUAAAACGUUUAUAUAAGAGCCAAAAUCAAUAUGAAAAUUUAAAAUAAGGACCAAAAAAAUCGAUACGAGGCCUUGAUAUAUGGACAACAAUUGAAAAAGAUUAAAGAUUUAUGCCUUGCGGCUAAAAUCAGAAAGCAAGGGAACCAUUUUUAUAAUAUUUUUUUUUCUUAUGAUUGUUAUAAACAUCAUUUAGAGGUCUUAAAUUGACAAAAAAAAAAGUUUAGUGGCGAAUUAGUUGUAAAUGAUGGUUGUGACUUGUGAGUGGUUAGUGAUGUUGUUCUGUUGUUGUAUUGUGGUGGUGGUUUAUGACAAACUAAGCAUGCUACUUUCAUUUUUUAAACAAAAAUAACAUGCUACAAGUAAUUAUAGUUUGAUCUCAACCAAUGAUACAAGGAUUAUAUUAUAAAGGAUGGUUUGCUGAUGAGGAUAAAGAAGACAUCUCAAUGGCAGGAAGUUUGUUGAUUUUGAUUCUCACUGGUGUAUUCCUAUGUACACAAUGAUACAUUGGUAUGAUUCUUGAUUAUUCUAAACUCGUUUAACCAUCGUUGCCAAUUAUAAUAACAUUAUAUUUUCCAUUUUUUUCCCUAAUAAAAUUAUAACAUUGUUAUAGUUUCACCUAUUAAGAUAUUAUUGUUUUAACUUUUUCCUAUAAAAAUGUUAAUUCUUUAGUAAAAAUUGUGCAUUGAAAUUUAACCUACCAAGGCACCAUACUUCUAUUUUUUCACAUAUUCAGAAAUUACACUUUGAUCACCUAACUAAUUAUAGCAUUAUAAUUUUCAUACUAACCUAUUCAGACACUUAAUUUUUUUUUUCUUUUUUCCUAUUCAAAAUAUUUAAACGUUGUACUUUUUAAGUUUUUUUUCUAAUAAGACAAUGCACUUUGAAAACAUUCUUCUUUUCAGCUUUUUUCUAAACAGUUAUAACAUAGUACUAUAUAAAUGUAACCUACUAAUAUAUUUUCUCUUUAGUUUUCCUACAGGUUUGUUUAAAGGGUUUUUCACUCCAUUCUGAAAAUGAUUAUUGCAGCAAGAUUUGUAAUUACAUAAAAAGAUCUGGAUCCUUUGUUCCAUCGUGUUCUUGAUGCAAAAAAUCUAAAUUUAUGUUCUCAUAGUUGAUAAAACCAUGAAUUAAUAAAAUUCAUGUGUACCCUAAUAGUUUGAUUGCAGGUGGUUGUUAUUUACUGAUAAAAGUCCCAUUUCUAAUAUGCAUCCUGUUUUUUGUACAAAUUAUGUAGAUUUCAAUGAGGUGUUCUUCAGGAUUAUGCAUAACACCCAGCUGAAGAAAUUUAUGAAUGCAUACAGUGAUAAAAGGAGCAAACUCCUGAUGAGGAAAUGAUGUGCUUUUUUUCAAAGAUGCUGAAUGCUGCAUGGAAAACGCCUUGAACACUUAUUUAGUAUGCUUGGGAAAGGAAAUGCCACAUGGUGUGGUUGAAAUGUUAAAACUUAUAAAAAACAAGUGGUCAAUAUAAAGAGGAAUCUCUUCAUUCAGCUGUUAUUCUUGAGUAAUAAGCAUCUAUCUUAUUGUUACCCUUUAUUAUAGCCAAAAUCGGCAGAAGACGUGAACUUGUGAAAAUAUUUGCCCAGGAAACGACUUCCGGACUCUUCUGUGACAGCCUUGUUGAUGGUCAUGGUCAUAAUUUGGCUUUGCUCUUGUAUGUUUUUUAAUCUUUAUAGGAUAAAUUUCAGGAAAUAGCAACAUACUUCAUUUUUUUUUACUAUCGUAGGCAGUAUACUUCAUUUUUUUACCCACAUUAGCAAUGUAUAACCCAUAAUUGCAACAUACUUGCAUUUAUUUAUAGAUAAAAGCAUCACACUUAUGAUUCCUUAGGUGUUUGUUUUUUCUAAAAAACCACUUCUGACCACUUGUUACUGUGCCACGCAACACUUGGCCAUUCAUAGUUUUUCAGAAGACUUCUAACUUAAAAAUUGUUGCGUGUGUGCUGCACACACAACACUAACUUUUUGCAGCAGUCUGUAUACGUUAAAAAACAUACUUGUUAUUACAUGUUGCAGUCGUUUGGUCUAUCUCUUUUGAUAUAGAGGGUUGCAAAGGUGGUCCUCAGACUUCAAACAUUUUUGCUUCGAAAAAACAAACAACACCUUACUCAUUAUGGAAAAGUACUUAGAUCUCUUUACCAAUAAUAGCAAUAUGCCAAUAUUUAACAAAUAAAGUACUAUUGACCAUAUUAGUAGGGAAAGGAAAAUAUGUUUGCUAUUACAAGGAAAAGUAUAAAGUUUGUUGCUAUUAUGGAUGGAUAAAGAACAAAGUACAUUGCUUCUAUUGGUAAAGACAUGUAAUUACGUUGCUAUUAUGGGUAGAAAUAUAAGUGCAAUGUUAUUAUGGGUAAAAAAUAUAAGUACAUCGCUAUUAUGGAUAGAAAAGUAUAAGUAUGCUGCUAUUAUGGAUAAAGAAUAAAACGCAAUAUUUUGUUCAAGUAUUUUAUUUUUAUUUCUAAAGAAAGGAGUGUAAACAAGUUUGCCUAGGAAACGAUUUCCCAACUCUUCUGUGACAGCCUUGUUGAUGGUCUUGGUCAUAAUUUGGCUUUGCACUCGUAUGUUUUUUAAUCUUUAUAGGAUAAAUUUCAGGAAAUAGCAACAUACUUCAUUUUUUUUACCAUCGUAGGCAGUAUACUUCAUUUUUUUUACCCACACUAGCAAUGUGUAACCCAUAAUUGCAACAUACUUGCAUUUAUUUAUAGAUAAAAGCAUCAUACUUAUG